rnacentral:lncRNA from 1 species
UAAAGGGUACCUUUUCUUGAAGAGCAGUGAUGGCGGAACCGUGCGAUCGAGCUUCAAAUCGCGAAACAGAAGCAAGGUGUCGGUUCAGAAGGCUAAUGAAGAUGCUAAUCCAGCUCCAGCAUAGUUGCAUCAAGCGAUUUCUUGAACUGCAAUUUGACGACGCAGGUUUUUUCACAGCAAGAAUCAGCCAAGGCUUUGUUUCGAUCUCCUUCAACAGAAGCGAAAUGGUACCUGCAAAUUGUGAUCUAACAGAAAAAUCGCACCAGGAAUCAAAG